rnacentral:rRNA from 1 species
UACGUGUGAGGCGAGCGUUAUUCGUCAUUAAUGGGUCUAAAGGGUACGUAGGCGGUAUAGUAAAUCUUUUUUUAAUUACACCUAAGAGUGAGAAUGAUAUUACUGAACUAGAGUCCAAAGGAGUAACAGAUACCCUAGGUAGAGUGUUAAAAAUACUUAGAAACAUAGGAGGUCGCGAAGUGGCGAAAGCGUGUUACUAUUGAAGACUGACGCUGAGGUACGAAGGCAUGGGUAUCGAUCGGG